rnacentral:tRNA from 1 species
CAUGUGGGAGGCGCUGCGCGGCGGCGCGUCCGGCUUCAAGCUGCACGAGGACUGGGGGUCGACCCCGGCCGCGAUCGACGCGUGCCUGCGCGUC